rnacentral:rRNA from 1 species
GAUUAAGUUAUUAAGGGCGAACGGUGGAUGCCUUGGCACUAGAAGCCGAUGAAGGACGUUACUAACGACGAUAUGCUUUGGGGAGCUGUAAGUAAGCUUUGAUCCAGAGAUUUCCGAAUGGGGAAACCCAGCAUGAGUUAUGUCAUGUUAUCGAUAUGUGAAUACAUAGCAUAUCAGAAGGCACACCCGGAGAACUGAAACAUCUUAGUACCCGGAGGAAGAGAAAGAAAAUUCGAUUCCCUUAGUAGCGGCGAGCGAAACGGGAAGAGCCCAAACCAACAAGCUUGCUUGUUGGGGUUGUAGGACACUCUAUACGGAGUUACAAAGGACGACAUUAGACGAAUCAUCUGGAAAGAUGAAUCAAAGAAGGUAAUAAUCCUGUAGUCGAAAAUGUUGUCUCUCUUGAGUGGAUCCUGAGUACGACGGAGCACGUGAAAUUCCGUCGGAAUCUGGGAGGACCAUCUCCUAAGGCUAAAUACUCUCUAGUGACCGAUAGUGAACCAGUACCGUGAGGGAAAGGUGAAAAGCACCCCGGAAGGGGAGUGAAAUAGAACCUGAAACCGUGUGCUUACAAGUAGUCAGAGCCCGUUAAUGGGUGAUGGCGUGCCUUUUGUAGAAUGAACCGGCGAGUUACGAUUUGAUGCAAGGUUAAGCAGUAAAUGUGGAGCCGUAGCGAAAGCGAGUCUGAAUAGGGCGUUUAGUAUUUGGUCGUAGACCCGAAACCAGGUGAUCUACCCUUGGUCAGGUUGAAGUUCAGGUAACACUGAAUGGAGGACCGAACCGACUUACGUUGAAAAGUGAGCGGAUGAACUGAGGGUAGCGGAGAAAUUCCAAUCGAACCUGGAGAUAGCUGGUUCUCUCCGAAAUAGCUUUAGGGCUAGCCUCAAGUGAUGAUUAUUGGAGGUAGAGCACUGUUUGGACGAGGGGCCCCUCUCGGGUUACCGAAUUCAGACAAACUCCGAAUGCCAAUUAAUUUAACUUGGGAGUCAGAACAUGGGUGAUAAGGUCCGUGUUCGAAAGGGAAACAGCCCAGACCACCAGCUAAGGUCCCAAAAUAUAUGUUAAGUGGAAAAGGAUGUGGCGUUGCCCAGACAACUAGGAUGUUGGCUUAGAAGCAGCCAUCAUUUAAAGAGUGCGUAAUAGCUCACUAGUCGAGUGACACUGCGCCGAAAAUGUACCGGGGCUAAACAUAUUACCGAAGCUGUGGAUUGUCCUUUGGACAAUGGUAGGAGAGCGUUCUAAGGGCGUUGAAGCAUGAUCGUAAGGACAUGUGGAGCGCUUAGAAGUGAGAAUGCCGGUGUGAGUAGCGAAAGACGGGUGAGAAUCCCGUCCACCGAUUGACUAAGGUUUCCAGAGGAAGGCUCGUCCGCUCUGGGUUAGUCGGGUCCUAAGCUGAGGCCGACAGGCGUAGGCGAUGGAUAACAGGUUGAUAUUCCUGUACCACCUAUAAUCGUUUUAAUCGAUGGGGGGACGCAGUAGGAUAGGCGAAGCGUGCGAUUGGAUUGCACGUCUAAGCAGUAAGGCUGAGUAUUAGGCAAAUCCGGUACUCGUUAAGGCUGAGCUGUGAUGGGGAGAAGACAUUGUGUCUUCGAGUCGUUGAUUUCACACUGCCGAGAAAAGCCUCUAGAUAGAAAAUAGGUGCCCGUACCGCAAACCGACACAGGUAGUCAAGAUGAGAAUUCUAAGGUGAGCGAGCGAACUCUCGUUAAGGAACUCGGCAAAAUGACCCCGUAACUUCGGGAGAAGGGGUGCUCUUUAGGGUUAACGCCCAGAAGAGCCGCAGUGAAUAGGCCCAAGCGACUGUUUAUCAAAAACACAGGUCUCUGCUAAACCGUAAGGUGAUGUAUAGGGGCUGACGCCUGCCCGGUGCUGGAAGGUUAAGAGGAGUGGUUAGCUUCUGCGAAGCUACGAAUCGAAGCCCCAGUAAACGGCGGCCGUAACUAUAACGGUCCUAAGGUAGCGAAAUUCCUUGUCGGGUAAGUUCCGACCCGCACGAAAGGCGUAACGAUUUGGGCACUGUCUCAACGAGAGACUCGGUGAAAUCAUAGUACCUGUGAAGAUGCAGGUUACCCGCGACAGGACGGAAAGACCCCGUGGAGCUUUACUGUAGCCUGAUAUUGAAAUUCGGCACAGCUUGUACAGGAUAGGUAGGAGCCUUUGAAACGUGAGCGCUAGCUUACGUGGAGGCGCUGGUGGGAUACUACCCUAGCUGUGUUGGCUUUCUAACCCGCACCACUUAUCGUGGUGGGAGACAGUGUCAGGCGGGCAGUUUGACUGGGGCGGUCGCCUCCUAAAAGGUAACGGAGGCGCUCAAAGGUUCCCUCAGAAUGGUUGGAAAUCAUUCAUAGAGUGUAAAGGCAUAAGGGAGCUUGACUGCGAGACCUACAAGUCGAGCAGGGUCGAAAGACGGACUUAGUGAUCCGGUGGUUCCGCAUGGAAGGGCCAUCGCUCAACGGAUAAAAGCUACCCCGGGGAUAACAGGCUUAUCUCCCCCAAGAGUUCACAUCGACGGGGAGGUUUGGCACCUCGAUGUCGGCUCAUCGCAUCCUGGGGCUGUAGUCGGUCCCAAGGGUUGGGCUGUUCGCCCAUUAAAGCGGUACGCGAGCUGGGUUCAGAACGUCGUGAGACAGUUCGGUCCCUAUCCGUCGUGGGCGUAGGAAAUUUGAGAGGAGCUGUCCUUAGUACGAGAGGACCGGGAUGGACAUACCUCUGGUGUACCAGUUGUCGUGCCAACGGCAUAGCUGGGUAGCUAUGUGUGGACGGGAUAAGUGCUGAAAGCAUCUAAGCAUGAAGCCCCCCUCAAGAUGAGAUUUCCCAACUUCGGUUAUAAGAUCCCUCAAAGAUGAUGAGGUUAAUAGGUUCGAGGUGGAAGCAUGGUGACAUGUGGAGCUGACGAAUACUAAUCGAUCGAAGACUUAAUCAA